ACUAAUUAGUCGCGAUGAAUAUUAGACUAAACCCUAGUGGUAUUGGUACUAGGUUUUAUCGAAGGAAAAUCGUUUUGAGAGUAUCGAAGCGCUGUUCGAGUGCUGAGUCACCACCUACUCANGACUAAUUAAUUUGUCGCGGUUAUCGUUAGACUAAACCCUAGUGGUAUCGAUACUAGGUUUUAUCGAAGGAAUAUCAUUUUAAGAGUAUCGAAACGCUGUCCAAGUGCUGAGUCACCACCUACUCAGGUGAGUGCAUAGUCCCUUUCAUCUUACACAUAGAUAUGAAGUAUUUUAUAAACUACGUGCUAUGUGUACAUAUUAUCUGAAUACUUGCUGUCUAUGCUGGAUGAACGUUUUAUACAUGUUUUAAAUAAUUUAAACUAUAUACGUAUUUUAUACGAAUAUGUUGGGAAUGACAUGGGUAGAUGAACGAUGAGAGAUAUAAGAUGAUGAGAGUAUACGUUGGCAGCUAUAGACUUAGUGCCUAUUGGACAAACACCGGUAGCUAUGGACUUAGUACCUGUUAGACACUAGUAGCUAUGGAUUUAGUACCUGUUAGGAAUUGGUAGCUAUGGACUUAGUACCUAUUAGAUGAACACUGGUAGCUUUGGAUUUAGUACCCGAUGAGUAGACUAUAGCAGCUAUGGGAUUAGUGCUUUACGAACGAACAUUGGCAAUUAUGGAUUUAGUUCCAGUCCUAUAACCCUGGAAGUAAGGGACUUCGGAAUAAACGAAUGCAUGAUAGAUGACUCUUAGGUUAAAUCCUUAAGAGUAAAGAAGAUAAUGGGGAUGGGUAAUUGGGUGGAUUGUUUGAUUGUUUAACAUAAUAAUUAUAUUAUUGUGGGUUGAAAACCCUAUGUACUCACCAGGUUUUCCAACCUGACCCACUCAGUUUAUUUAUAUCACAGGUGUUGAUAUGAAGUCACUUUACACUGAGAGAUUUAAAGAGAUGUAGAUCACUAG
rnacentral:lncRNA from 1 species